GAUGAACGCUGGCGGCGUGCCUAAUACAUGCAAGUCGAGCGAACGGACGAGAAGCUUGCUUCUCUGAUGUUAGCGGCGGACGGGUGAGUAACACGUGGAUAACCUACCUAUAAGACUGGGAUAACUUCGGGAAACCGGAGCUAAUACCGGAUAAUAUUUUGAACCGCAUGGUUCAAAAGUGAAAGACGGUCUUGCUGUCACUUAUAGAUGGAUCCGCGCUGCAUUAGCUAGUUGGUAAGGUAACGGCUUACCAAGGCAACGAUGCAUAGCCGACCUGAGAGGGUGAUCGGCCACACUGGAACUGAGACACGGUCCAGACUCCUACGGGAGGCAGCAGUAGGGAAUCUUCCGCAAUGGGCGAAAGCCUGACGGAGCAACGCCGCGUGAGUGAUGAAGGUCUUCGGAUCGUAAAACUCUGUUAUUAGGGAAGAACAUAUGUGUAAGUAACUGUGCACAUCUUGACGGUACCUAAUCAGAAAGCCACGGCUAACUACGUGCCAGCAGCCGCGGUAAUACGUAGGUGGCAAGCGUUAUCCGGAAUUAUUGGGCGUAAAGCGCGCGUAGGCGGUUUUUUAAGUCUGAUGUGAAAGCCCACGGCUCAACCGUGGAGGGUCAUUGGAAACUGGAAAACUUGAGUGCAGAAGAGGAAAGUGGAAUUCCAUGUGUAGCGGUGAAAUGCUCAGAGAUAUGGAGGAACACCAGUGGCGAAGGCGACUUUCUGGUCUGUAACUGACGCUGAUGUGCGAAAGCGUGGGGAUCAAACAGGAUUAGAUACCCUGGUAGUCCACGCCGUAAACGAUGAGUGCUAAGUGUUAGGGGGUUUCCGCCCCUUAGUGCUGCAGCUAACGCAUUAAGCACUCCGCCUGGGGAGUACGACCGCAAGGUUGAAACUCAAAGGAAUUGACGGGGACCCGCACAAGCGGUGGAGCAUGUGGUUUAAUUCGAAGCAACGCGAAGAACCUUACCAAAUCUUGACAUCCUUUGACAACUCUAGAGAUAGAGCCUUCCCCUUCGGGGGACAAAGUGACAGGUGGUGCAUGGUUGUCGUCAGCUCGUGUCGUGAGAUGUUGGGUUAAGUCCCGCAGCGAGCGCAACCCUUAAGCUUAGUUGCCAUCAUUAAGUUGGGCACUCUAAGUUGACUGCCGGUGACAAACCGGAGGAAGGUGGGGAUGACGUCAAAUCAUCAUGCCCCUUAUGAUUUGGGCUACACACGUGCUACAAUGGACAAUACAAAGGGCAGCGAAACCGCGAGGUCAAGCAAAUCCCAUAAAGUUGUUCUCAGUUCGGAUUGUAGUCUGCAACUCGACUACAUGAAGCUGGAAUCGCUAGUAAUCGUAGAUCAGCAUGCUACGGUGAAUACGUUCCCGGGUCU
rnacentral:rRNA from 1 species